CAGAAACUAUGCAAGUUCCAAGAGCAUUCUUUGAGAACAAGUGGCGACGGGAAUGGGUCCGGAGAGAGUCACACAAUGUUUCUCCAGAGAUAUCUGUAUCAGGAAGUAAAGGCAGGAUUUGCAUCCUGUUACAUACCUGUAAAGUGCAACACCACACCACACUUUGUACGAAGCAGUGAAAGAAGCAUGUCAUUUUCUGAUUGAGAAAUUCAAGAACCUGAAUUACAAGCAUCACAACAAUGAAAGUUCAGAAAUGGAGUCCAUCCCAAGUGUUUGUGACUGUAUUGAGUUUUGAUACAGAGGGGCAGAAGGGCAAGAA